GCCGGGCAUGGUGGUGCGUGCCUGUAGUCCUGGCUACUUGGGAGGCUGAGGCUGGAGGAUUUCUUGAGCCCAGGAGUUCUGGGCCGUAGUGCGCUGUGCCAAUCAGGUGUCCGCACUAAGUUUGGCAUCAAUAUGGCGACCUCCUGGGAGCGGGGGACUACCAGGUUGCCUAAGGAGGGGUGAACCGGCCCAGGUCGGAAACGGAGCAGGUCAAAACUCCUGUGCUGAUCAGUAGUGGGAUCGCGCCUGUGAAUAGCCACUGCACUCCAGCCUGGGCAACAUAGUGAGACUCUGUCUCAA
ensembl:misc_RNA Metazoa_SRP Metazoan signal recognition particle RNA